rnacentral:rRNA from 1 species
GGGUUGUGAGGUUAAGCGACUAAGCGUACACGGUGGAUGCCCUGGCAGUCAGAGGCGAUGAAGGACGUGCUAAUCUGCGAUAAGCGUCGGUAAGGUGAUAUGAACCGUUAUAACCGGCGAUUUCCGAAUGGGGAAACCCAGUGUGAUUCGUCACACUAUCAUUAACUGAAUCCAUAGGUUAAUGAGGCGAACCGGGGGAACUGAAACAUCUAAGUACCCCGAGGAAAAGAAAUCAACCGAGAUUCCCCCAGUAGCGGCGAGCGAACGGGGAGCAGCCCAGAGCCUGAAUCAGUGUGUGUGUUAGUGGAAGCGUCUGGAAAGGCGCGCGAUACAGGGUGACAGCCCCGUACACAAAAAUGCACAUGCUGUGAGCUCGAUGAGUAGGGCGGGACACGUGGUAUCCUGUCUGAAUAUGGGGGGACCAUCCUCCAAGGCUAAAUACUCCUGACUGACCGAUAGUGAACCAGUACCGUGAGGGAAAGGCGAAAAGAACCCCGGCGAGGGGAGUGAAAAAGAACCUGAAACCGUGUACGUACAAGCAGUGGGAGCACAGAGCAAUCUGUGUGACUGCGUACCUUUUGUAUAAUGGGUCAGCGACUUAUAUUCUGUAGCAAGGUUAACCGAAUAGGGGAGCCGAAGGGAAACCGAGUCUUAACUGGGCGUUAAGUUGCAGGGUAUAGACCCGAAACCCGGUGAUCUAGCCAUGGGCAGGUUGAAGGUUGGGUAACACUAACUGGAGGACCGAACCGACUAAUGUUGAAAAAUUAGCGGAUGACUUGUGGCUGGGGGUGAAAGGCCAAUCAAACCGGGAGAUAGCUGGUUCUCCCCGAAAGCUAUUUAGGUAGCGCCUCGUGAAUUCAUCUCCGGGGGUAGAGCACUGUUUCGGCAAGGGGGUCAUCCCGACUUACCAACCCGAUGCAAACUGCGAAUACCGGAGAAUGUUAUCACGGGAGACACACGGCGGGUGCUAACGUCCGUCGUGAAGAGGGAAACAACCCAGACCGCCAGCUAAGGUCCCAAAGUCAUGGUUAAGUGGGAAACGAUGUGGGAAGGCCCAGACAGCCAGGAUGUUGGCUUAGAAGCAGCCAUCAUUUAAAGAAAGCGUAAUAGCUCACUGGUCGAGUCGGCCUGCGCGGAAGAUGUAACGGGGCUAAACCAUGCACCGAAGCUGCGGCAGCGACACUAUGUGUUGUUGGGUAGGGGAGCGUUCUGUAAGCCUGUGAAGGUGUACUGUGAGGUAUGCUGGAGGUAUCAGAAGUGCGAAUGCUGACAUAAGUAACGAUAAAGCGGGUGAAAAGCCCGCUCGCCGGAAGACCAAGGGUUCCUGUCCAACGUUAAUCGGGGCAGGGUGAGUCGACCCCUAAGGCGAGGCCGAAAGGCGUAGUCGAUGGGAAACAGGUUAAUAUUCCUGUACUUGGUGUUACUGCGAAGGGGGGACGGAGAAGGCUAUGUUGGCCGGGCGACGGUUGUCCCGGUUUAAGCGUGUAGGCUGGUUUUCCAGGCAAAUCCGGAAAAUCAAGGCUGAGGCGUGAUGACGAGGCACUACGGUGCUGAAGCAACAAAUGCCCUGCUUCCAGGAAAAGCCUCUAAGCAUCAGGUAACAUCAAAUCGUACCCCAAACCGACACAGGUGGUCAGGUAGAGAAUACCAAGGCGCUUGAGAGAACUCGGGUGAAGGAACUAGGCAAAAUGGUGCCGUAACUUCGGGAGAAGGCACGCUGAUAUGUAGGUGAAGUCCCUCGCGGAUGGAGCUGAAAUCAGUCGAAGAUACCAGCUGGCUGCAACUGUUUAUUAAAAACACAGCACUGUGCAAACACGAAAGUGGACGUAUACGGUGUGACGCCUGCCCGGUGCCGGAAGGUUAAUUGAUGGGGUUAGCGCAAGCGAAGCUCUUGAUCGAAGCCCCGGUAAACGGCGGCCGUAACUAUAACGGUCCUAAGGUAGCGAAAUUCCUUGUCGGGUAAGUUCCGACCUGCACGAAUGGCGUAAUGAUGGCCAGGCUGUCUCCACCCGAGACUCAGUGAAAUUGAACUCGCUGUGAAGAUGCAGUGUACCCGCGGCAAGACGGAAAGACCCCGUGAACCUUUACUAUAGCUUGACACUGAACAUUGAGCCUUGAUGUGUAGGAUAGGUGGGAGGCUUUGAAGUGUGGACGCCAGUCUGCAUGGAGCCGACCUUGAAAUACCACCCUUUAAUGUUUGAUGUUCUAACGUGGACCCGUGAUCCGGGUUGCGGACAGUGUCUGGUGGGUAGUUUGACUGGGGCGGUCUCCUCCUAAAGAGUAACGGAGGAGCACGAAGGUUGGCUAAUCCUGGUCGGACAUCAGGAGGUUAGUGCAAUGGCAUAAGCCAGCUUGACUGCGAGCGUGACGGCGCGAGCAGGUGCGAAAGCAGGUCAUAGUGAUCCGGUGGUUCUGAAUGGAAGGGCCAUCGCUCAACGGAUAAAAGGUACUCCGGGGAUAACAGGCUGAUACCGCCCAAGAGUUCAUAUCGACGGCGGUGUUUGGCACCUCGAUGUCGGCUCAUCACAUCCUGGGGCUGAAGUAGGUCCCAAGGGUAUGGCUGUUCGCCAUUUAAAGUGGUACGCGAGCUGGGUUUAGAACGUCGUGAGACAGUUCGGUCCCUAUCUGCCGUGGGCGCUGGAGAACUGAGGGGGGCUGCUCCUAGUACGAGAGGACCGGAGUGGACGCAUCACUGGUGUUCGGGUUGUCAUGCCAAUGGCACUGCCCGGUAGCUAAAUGCGGAAGAGAUAAGUGCUGAAAGCAUCUAAGCACGAAACUUGCCCCGAGAUGAGUUCUCCCUGACUCCUUGAGAGUCCUGAAGGAACGUUGAAGACGACGACGUUGAUAGGCCGGGUGUGUAAGCGCAGCGAUGCGUUGAGCUAACCGGUACUAAUGAACCGUGAGGCUUAACCUUACAACGCCGAAGGUGUUU